rnacentral:rRNA from 1 species
UUUCCGGUUGAUCCCGCCGGAGGCCACUGCUAUCGGGGUUCGAUUUAGCCAUGCGAGUCGAGAGGGUUUAGACCCUCGGCGGACUGCUCAGUAACACGUGGAUAACCUGCCCUAAGGUGGAGGAUAACCCCGGGAAACUGGGGAUAAUACUCCAUAGAUUAGAGAUACUGGAAUGUUCUUUAGUCAAAAGUUCUGGCGCCUUAGGAUGGAUCUGCGGUCGAUUAGGUUGUUGUUGGGGUAACGGCCCAACAAGCCUGUAAUCGAUACGGGUUGUGGGAGCAAUAGCCCGGAGAUGGAAUCUGAGACAAGAUUCCAGGCCCUACGGGGCGCAGCAGGCGCGAAAACUUUACAAUGCAGGAAACUGUGAUAAGGGAACCCCGAGUGCCCGUAUACGCGGGCUGUCCAGGUGUUUAAAAGUCAUCUGAAGAAAGGGCCGGGCAAGACCGGUGCCAGCCGCCGCGGUAAUACCGGCGGCUCGAGUGGUGGCCACUAUUAUUGGGCUUAAAGCGUCCGUAGCUGGACUGAUAAGUCUCUUGGGAAAUCCGCCGGCUCAACCGGCGGGCGUCUAAGGGAUACUGUUGGUCUAGGGACCGGGAGAGGUGAGAGGUACUCCGGGGGUAGGAGUGAAAUCCUGUAAUCCCCGGGGGACCACCGAUGGCGAAGGCAUCUCACCAGAACGGCUCCGACAGUGAGGGACGAAAGCUGGGGGAGCAAACCGGAUUAGAUACCCGGGUAGUCCCAGCCGUAAACUAUGCGCGUUAGGUGUGCUGGU